rnacentral:misc_RNA from 1 species
CUGAGUACCGGGUCUCUCAGGCCCUUACUCCCACCCUUUGUGUACCUUACCAAAUUUCAGUUGCCUUGGUGGGUCUCUACCCCCCCUCGGAUUAGUUUCUAAUCCUUGGGCAGAGCCCACCAUUGGAACUUCUUUAAACUCUUAUGAAUUGAGUUGUCUGAGAACAAAAAACAAAUAAAUUA